rnacentral:rRNA from 1 species
GACGAACGCUGGCGGCGUGCCUAAUACAUGCAAGUCGAACGCACUCUCGUUUAGAUUGAAGGAGCUUGCUCCUGAUUGAUAAACAUUUGAGUGAGUGGCGGACGGGUGAGUAACACGUGGGUAACCUGCCCUAAAGUGGGGGAUAACAUUUGGAAACAGAUGCUAAUACCGCAUAAAACCUAACACCGCAUGGUGUAGGGUUGAAAGAUGGUUUCGGCUAUCACUUUAGGAUGGACCCGCGGUGCAUUAGUUAGUUGGUGAGGUAAAGGCUCACCAAGACCGUGAUGCAUAGCCGACCUGAGAGGGUAAUCGGCCACACUGGGACUGAGACACGGCCCAGACUCCUACGGGAGGCAGCAGUAGGGAAUCUUCCACAAUGGACGAAAGUCUGAUGGAGCAACGCCGCGUGAGUGAAGAAGGUUUUACGGAUCGUAAAAACUCUGUUGUUGGAGAAGAAUGUAUCUGAUAGUAACUGAUCAGGUAGUGACGGUAUCCAACCAGAAAGCCAACGG